rnacentral:rRNA from 1 species
AUUGAACGCUGGCGGAAUGCUUUACACAUGCAAGUCGAACGGCAGCAUAGGUGCUUGCACCUGAUGGCGAGUGGCGAACGGGUGAGUGAUACAUCGGGACGUGCCCAGUCGUGGGGGAUAACGUAGCGAAAGUUACGCUAAUACCGCAUACGAUCUAAGGAUGAAAGCGGGGGACCGUAAGGCCUCGCGCGAUUGGAGCGGCCGAUGUCAGAUUAGGUAGUUGGUGAGGUAAAGGCUCACCAAGCCGACGAUCUGUAGCUGGUCUGAGAGGACGACCAGCCACACUGGGACUGAGACACGGCCCAGACUCCUACGGGAGUCAGCAGUGGGGAAUUUUGGACAAUGGACGCAAGUCUGAUCCAGCCAUUCCGCGUGCAGGACGAAGGCCUUCGGGUUGUAAACUGCUUUUGUACGGAACGAAAAAGCUCUUACUAAUACUAGGAGUCCAUGACGGUACCGUAAGAAUAAGCACCGGCUAACUACGUGCCAGCCGCCGCGGUAA